AGAGUUUGAUCAUGGCUCAGAUUGAACGCUGGCGGCAUGCCUUACACAUGCAAGUCGAACGGCAGCACGGGAGCAAUCCUGGUGGCGAGUGGCGAACGGGUGAGUAAUACAUCGGAACGUGCCCAGUAGUGGGGGAUAACCCGGCGAAAGCCGGACUAAUACCGCAUACGACCUACGGGUGAAAGCAGGGGAUCGCAAGACCUUGCGCUAUCGGAGCGGCCGAUGUCAGAUUAGCUUGUUGGUGGGGUAAAAGCCCACCAAGGCGACGAUCUGUAGCUGGUCUGAGAGGACGACCAGCCACACUGGGACUGAGACACGGCCCAGACUCCUACGGGAGGCAGCAGUGGGGAAUUUUGGACAAUGGGCGCAAGCCUGAUCCAGCCAUGCCGCGUGCGGGAAGAAGGCCUUCGGGUUGUAAACCGCUUUUGUCAGGGAAGAAACGCUCCGGAUUAAUACCUCGGAGUAAUGACGGUACCUGAAGAAUAAGCACCGGCUAACUACGUGCCAGCAGCCGCGGUAAUACGUAGGGUGCAAGCGUUAAUCGGAAUUACUGGGCGUAAAGCGUGCGCAGGCGGCUUUGCAAGACAGAUGUGAAAUCCCCGGGCUUAACCUGGGAACUGCAUUUGUGACUGCAUGGCUGGAGUGCGGCAGAGGGGGAUGGAAUUCCGCGUAGCAGUGAAAUGCGUAGAUAUGCGGAGGAACACCGAUGGCGAAGGCAAUCCCCUGGGCCUGCACUGACGCUCAUGCACGAAAGCGUGGGGAGCAAACAGGAUUAGAUACCCUAGUAGUCC
rnacentral:rRNA from 1 species